rnacentral:sRNA from 1 species
GGAGAAUCUAAGACUUCUGAAGAGUUUCUUGCUUCUUUCCUGUGGGGCAGUGACUCCACUUCCCAGCAGUAAUGGAAUAUCCUGAAUUAGCUACAUUAAUGUUAGAACCAUUUGGACCUCACCCAGGACUUCAACUACAUUAUGAGUAACUCCUGGACGAUUGGCACAGAAGGCACAAGGCAAAUACCUAUCUCUGUACACCCUGUGCUACUGUGUCAUGUGCUGCUCCAGGCAACUCCAAUGGAUUGGCCACCCUGGCCAAUGUGUGAGUUAUAAAGCAAUGAUGUGUAGCUAUUGAACCUACAAUUUGGUUAAAGUUAAACUCUCAAGUUUUAUAUGUUUACAAGCAUAUUGUCCUUUUGUUAAUUUCCUCCCCGUACUCAUUUCUUGACUUCUUUUAGUUUUACUAUGUAGUAAUUUUUAAAAUGUUAGUCAAAGUUAGUUAAUUUAAUUCACUUAGCAGAUUUUCCUGUAAUUUUGGUUAAACAGUAUCCUUUCUGUACAGGCCCUCCAAACACCAGCACUGAGUAGAAAGAGGCUCUGAUUCAUGAAAUGUGAAUUUAUGACAGUUGCCACUCUUAAAAAAAAAACAAACAGACAGAACUUGAGCAAUACAUGACUGAUGCAUUCUCAGCCUGCUUCCUGUGUUCCAUCUGUCUUUCUGCCAGUGCAUUCACCCUCCAGGUUUGAAAGUAGUCGGGCAAGAAAGUACUAAACUAGAGAAAGGGCAAUUCCAAAAGAACAAAUGAUUGUUUAAUUUAGGCUGACAUUACCCAGUUGCUGGGGGUAUGGGCCAUGGGGAUGGGCCAUGUUCACCACUUAGGUUGGGCAAAUUCCCAAGAUGCCUUUUGACAUAGUAAUGAGGGGGAAUACAUCACUCAUGCCCACU